rnacentral:lncRNA from 1 species
UUUGCUAUGUUUGCAUAAAAAUAACCAUUCAGUGUGGAAACACAAUUGAUUAUGCAAACAACAAAUUAUCAUUAUUCUCAUUCCACAUCUUUACUAUGAUGUGACAGAGAGAUCAAGGUCUUCUUAUCCAAGAGUGGUGGAGCAUCAAUUCGAUUAAAUCCUUGCAAGGAAAACCUAAUCACACGACACGUGCAACCCUGUCGAGUUGCACACACCGAGUUUUCCCAAAGCUUACUACAAAAAUGGUUGAACCGCCCCUCGACCCGCAAGUGACUAGUCC